AGAGUUUGAUCAUGGCUCAGGACGAACGCUAGCGGCGUGCCUAAGAAAUGCAAGUCGAGCGAGGUUAUUGGGGCUUGCCCCGAUAGCUUAGCGGCGAACGGUCGCGUAACACGUAAGCAACCUGCCCUGAAGUGGGGGAUAGCCCGCCGAAAGGCGGAUUAAUACCGCAUGUGGAUAUAUGUUCGCAUGUAUAUGUAUCCAAAGCAGCAAUGCGCUUCAGGAUGGGCUUGCGGCCUAUCAGCUAGUUGGUGUGGGUAACGGCUCACCAAGGCGACGACGGGUAGCUGGUCUGAGAGGAUGGUCAGCCGGACUGGGACUGAGACACGGCCCAGACUCCUACGGGGGGCAGCAAUUAGGAAUCUUGCGCAAUGGGCGAAAGCCUGACGCAGCGACGCCGCGUGACCGAUGAAGUCCUUCGGGAUGUAGAGGUCUUUUUUGAGGGAAGAUAAUGACGGUACCUCAAGAAUAAGCCCCGGCUAACUACGUGCCAGCAGCCGCGGUAAUACGUAGGGGGCGAGCGUUGUCCGAAUUCACUGGGCGUAAAGCGCGCGUAGGCGGACUAUUAAGUUGGUGGUGAGAUUCCGAGGCUCAACCUCGGAACUGCCUCCAAGACUGGUGGUCUUGAGGUAUGGAGAGGGAAGUGGAAUUCCAGGUGUAGCGGUGAAAUGCGUAGAUAUCUGGAGGAACACCUGUGGCGAAGGCGGCUUCCUGGUCAUAUCCUGACGCUGAGGUGCGAAAGCUAGGGGAGCGAACGGGAUUAGAUACCCCGGUAGUCCUAGCCGUAAACGAUGGAUACUAGGUGUUAGAGGUAUCGACCCCUCUAGUGC
rnacentral:rRNA from 1 species